rnacentral:misc_RNA from 1 species
CCAGCCGUGAAAAGUCAAUUGCUCGUUGACCUGUUACAAGCUCUAGAAGCAUAAUCCCAUAACCAAAAACAUCCGUUCUUUCAGAUGACUUCCCAGUAGAUAAGUACUCAGGAGCUAUGUGGCCCAUUGUCCCACGAACUUGAGUUGUCACAUUAGUCUUCCUUACAUCCACCAACUUCGCCAGGCCAAAGUCACCAACAACUGCUUCAAAAUCUUCAUCUAAUAGUACAUUAGCAGCCUUCACAUCCCGAUGAAUAAUUUUAGGAUUGCAAUGUUCAUGAAGGUAUUCCAGUCCUCGUGCUGCACCUAAUGCCACUCUUUUUCUUGUUUCCCAACCUAAAACAGGCUCCUCAGGUUUACGUUCUCUUAGACGAUAAGCCACACUUAAAUUUGGCAUAAAUGGAUACACCAAAAGCCGUUCUGAUGGUGUAGUGCAAAACCCUAUCAGCCGUAGUAGAUUCCUGUGAACAGCUACACUUAUCAUCUCCACUUCACGUUGGAAAGCUGCAUCUCCUCCUGGACUUUCAAAAUCAGUUAAUCGUUUAACAGCAACUUUUGUGUUAUCUUGAAGUACUCCUUUAUAAACUUUUCCAAACCCUCCUUGUCCAAGAAUAUUUUUCUCAUUGAAGCUGUCUGUUGCCAGCUGUAAUUCCCGAUAUGCAAAUCUUUUCAAUUGACCAAAAGCAAUUCGUCGGUCAACUUCACCUGCAACAUCCACAAACACUUCACGUUUGUAACCUUUGUGUCUACCCUUGCAAACAAAAAACAGAAGUCCUCCAAAAAGAAGAAGAAUUAUAGUUCCUCCAACAACUCCAACUAUAAUACCAAUCUUUGGCUUAUUUGAAGCACCUGAAUCACUACUAUCAGAUUCACAGGGUUUGGGAAAGUUUGCACCACAAUUUAAGCGAUUUCCAGUGAAAUUGUAUUUUGGAAUUUGGAACAGAUGCUCAGGAAUUUGACCACUGAGAUCAUUUGAAUCGAGUAGAAUAUUAAUCAACUUUUGGAGACCAGAAAGUGAUUCAGGGAUAGCUCCAGUGA